rnacentral:rRNA from 1 species
AGUGAGAGAAGCGGUUACCGCGGCUGCUGGCACGUAGUUAGCCGGUGCUUAUUCUUCAGGUACCGUCAUCAGCUGUCGAUAUUAGCAACAGCCUUUUCUUCCCUGACAAAAGUCCUUUACAACCCGAAGGCCUUCUUCAGACACGCGGCAUGGCUGGGAUCAGGCUUGCGCCCAUUGUCCAAAAUUCCCCACUGCUGCCUCCCGUAGGUAGUCUGGGCCGUGUCUCAGUCCCCAGUGUGGCUGAUCAUCCUCUCAGACCAGCUACGGAUCGUCGCCUUGGUGAGCCGUUACCUCACCAACCAGCUAAUCCGACAUAGGCUCAUCCGAUAGCGCGAGGCCCGAAGGUCCCCCGCUUUCCCCCGUAGGGCGUAUGCGGUAUUAGCCUGGGUUUCCCCAGGUUAUCCCCCGACUACCGGGGCAGAUUCCCUAUGCAUUACUCACCCCGUCCGCCGCUCGCCCA